rnacentral:tRNA from 4 species
GGGGUCGUAGUUCAGCCCGGUUAGAACGCCGGCCUGUCACGUCGGAAGUCGUGGGUUCAAAUCCCAUCGGCCCCGCCA